UACAGAGGGGGCAAGCGUUGUUCGGAAUUACUGGGCGUAAAGGGCGCGUAGGCGGCCUGUUAAGUCGAACGUGAAAUCCCUGGGCUCAACCCAGGAACUGCGUCCGAUACUGGCAGGCUUGAAUCCGGGAGAGGGAUGCGGAAUUCCAGGUGUAGCGGUGAAAUGCGUAGAUAUCUGGAGGAACACCGGUGGCGAAGGCGACAUCCUGGACCGGCAUUGACGCUGAGGAGCGAAAGCGUGGGGAGCGAACAGG
rnacentral:rRNA from 1 species